CCUACGGGAUGCAGCAGUGGGGAAUAUUGCACAAUGGACGCAAGCCUGAUGCAGCCAUGCCGCGUGUAUGAAGAAGGCCUUCGGGUUGUAAAGUACUUUCAGCGGGGAGGAAGGUGUUGAGGUUAAUAACCUCAGCAAUUGACGUUACCCGCAGAAUGAAGCACCGGCUAACUCCGUGCCAGCAGCCGCGGUAAUACGGAGGGUGCAAGCGUUAAUCGGAAUUACUGGGCGUAAAGCGCACGCAGGCGGUCUGUCAAGUCGGAUGUGAAAUCCCCGGGCUCAACCUGGGAACUGCAUUCGAAACUGGCAGGCUAGAGUCUUGUAGAGGGGGGUAGAAUUCCAGGUGUAGCGGUGAAAUGCGUAGAGAUCUGGAGGAAUACCGGUGGCGAAGGCGGCCCCCUGGACAAAGACUGACGCUCAGGUGCGAAAGCGUGGGGAGCAAGCAGGAUUAGAUACCCCGGUAGUC
rnacentral:rRNA from 1 species